rnacentral:rRNA from 1 species
UACGUAGGGGGCUAGCGUUGUCCGGAUUUAUUGGGCGUAAAGAGCGUGUAGGCGGCCAGGUAGGUCUGCUGUGAAAACUCGAGGCUCAACCUCGAGAUGUCGGCGGAAACCAUCUGGCUAGAGUCCGGAAGAGGAGAAUGGAAUUCCCGGUGUAGCGGUGAAAUGCGCAGAUAUCGGGAGGAACACCUGUGGCGAAAGCGGCUCACUGGACCAUAACUGACGCUGAGGCACGAAAGCUAGGGGAGCAAACAGG